rnacentral:rRNA from 1 species
AUUGAACGCUGGCGGCAUGCCUUACACAUGCAAGUCGAACGGUAACGCGGGGCAACCUGGCGACGAGUGGCGAACGGGUGAGUAAUGCAUCGGAACGCGCCCAGUAGUGGGGGAUAGCCCGCCGAAAGCCGGAUUAAUACCGCAUACGACCUACGGGUGAAAGCGGGGGACCGUAAGGCCUCGCGCUAUGGGACCGGCCGAUGUCAGAUUAGGUUGGUGGUGGGGUAAAGGCCUACCAAGCCGACGAUCUGUAGCUGGUCUGAGAGGACGACCAGCCACACUGGGACUGAGACACGGCCCAGACUCCUACGGGAGGCAGCAGUGGGGAAUUUUGGACAAUGGGGGCAACCCUGAUCCAGCCAUGCCGCGUGCGGGAAGAAGGCCUUCGGGUUGUAAACCGCUUUUGUCAGGGAAGAAACGCUCUGGGCUAAUACCCUGGGGUAAUGACGGUACCUGAAGAAUAAGCACCGGCUAACUACGUGCCAGCCGCCGCGGUAA